rnacentral:tRNA from 1 species
GGCGUGGGUAGCUCAACAGCAGAGUCCCCGGUUGUGAUCCGGGUGGAUGCGGGUGCAACUCCCGUCCCUCGCCC